AUUGAACGCUGGCGGCAGGCCUAACACAUGCAAGUCGAGCGGAUGACGGGAGCUUGCUCCUUGAUUCAGCGGCGGACGGGUGAGUAAUGCCUAGGAAUCUGCCUGGUAGUGGGGGACAACGUUUCGAAAGGAACGCUAAUACCGCAUACGUCCUACGGGAGAAGGCAGGGGACCUUCGGGCCUUGCGCUAUCAGAUGAGCCUAGGUCGGAUUAGCUAGUAGGUGAGGUAAUGGCUCACCUAGGCGACGAUCCGUAACUGGUCUGAGAGGAUGAUCAGUAACACUAGGGCUGAGACACGGUCCAGACUACUACGGGAGGCAGCAGUGGGGAAUAUUGGACAAUGGGCGAAAGCCUGAUGCAGCCAUGCCGCGUGUGUGAAGAAGGUCUUCGGAUUGUAAAGCACUUUAAGUUGGGAGGAAGGGCAGUAAGCUAAUACCUUACUGUUUUGACGUUACCGACAGAAUAAGCACCGGCUAACUCUGUGCCAGCCGCCGCGGUAACAC
rnacentral:rRNA from 1 species